GGUUGAGGGAGGCUCACACCAUGUGGAGGUGGAGGCGGGGUUGAGGGAGGCUCACUCCAUGUGGAGGUGGAGGCGGGGUUG